rnacentral:lncRNA from 1 species
UCAUUUGAUGUUGUAUGGGGUCUGUAUUCACAGUAUCCAUUGUAUUCACUGUUUUAGACCUUGCUAGACGUAUCUUUCAUUUGAUAAUGUCUACGAUCUGAAUUCACUGUUUUGGACCUUACCAUCUAUUCUAUUACUUGUAUUACUCUGAAUUGUUGUAAUGUAACCAUGUAAAACUAUUACUAUUAAUACAAUGUUUUGUUGUACUUUCAUUACUAUAAUGCAUGUGUUGUGAUACUUGACAUGACGUCAUCCACCCCAGAACGUUUCCGCCGUUCCGGUUUUGGGGUGUGACACAUAAUCACAGACUGGUCCGGAUUUGCUCUUGGAAUGAUAGGCAGUUUUGUAAAAAUCACCAUAAAUUGUAGAAAAGGCGUGUGGAGAUGUGCAAGUAGUCAUUUUAAAGCUAAGAACUGGAACUACUUGCACAUAAAACAGUUUUGAAAACUAAAAUGUUUAAGUUGCCCAAAACAGUCCGUGAAUGGAGUUGAACUUUUCUGAUGAAGGCUGUUAAAUGAGUUUAGUUGUGUUCUUGGUGUUUUAACUUGUAUCCCCCCCCCCUUAUGUGACAACCCGAAGUUCAUACCAUUAUUUGUAAUCCUUUUCGUAACCCUUUCCGUUAAUUCAUUCGUCGUUAUCAAUUUCGUUUCCGUUUACGUCAUUAAUUAAGUCAUUAAAAAUUGAGAUUUCUAUUAUGACUUAAUGGGUGUUCAAACACGUUUAAAACCCAUAAUAACACCCCAUUCUAGUAAACAAAAAAUUUUUAGAAUCAACCAUAUCGGAUUACGGCAACUUGAUCGAGUGCGACCAAAAGCUACGUCUAACAUCGGUAUCGGGUAGAAUUCCACCGUGUCCAAAUCUUGAACACUAUUUAAAGUGGUUUAAGCUUCCAUUUGAAGCUUUUGCUCUCUCUCACUACUCUCUCUCUCUAACCUCUCUCCUCAAACCAAAGAAUUAGGUCCAAAAACAUCAAUUUAAGGCUCAAAUUCAUCAAGGUAACUUCCUUAACUCAUAGUAUAGCAUCAUUAGCCUUCAAAUUCGUGUUUAAUCUUUGGAAAAGGACCAUCUUCAUGAGUUUACGGCCAUGGAGCAUGCUUGGGCCGUAAACACAUAUAAAGUGGGUUUUUGAGCCUUAAAACCCCUUCAAAUCACAUUUGGGACUUAGAUAUGACUUUGUGGCUUACCAAUUCGGACUUAGAACACCUUAAACAUCAUUUUUGAGGAGUAAACAUGAGUUUACUACCCAAGAACAUGCUUGGGCCGUAACCUCAUCCUCAUGGAGAGUAAACUCAAAAUCAAGUGUUUAAAAGCCAUUUAAACACACCAAUAGCCUUGGGAUAAAUUCUAGAACCAACCACAAUCAAUUUGGGGACCUUAAACAUGAUCAAAACCCUCCAUUUGAGAGUUCACGGCCAUAACCCCCCAAGGAUGGGUUCCAGGGCCGUAAACUCACAUAAACUAGUCAAAUGGUGCCCUAAAUUCAUUCUAAGGCUUGUAAAAAUUGUUUGAAUCACAUGUGAUUAAUCUAAGGCCACUAAAUCAUCAAUUUAAGAAACGUAAAAGGAGCUUACGACCAUAAACUCCUAGUUUAGGGUCGUAAACUCCCUUUGAUGGUUCUUUUGGUGGUUUAAUUCAUUCCCAUGCCUUAGAUUAAAUCAUACCAACACUCCCCAAGUGAUACUUGACCAUUUAGCACCUUAAAACCCAUCAACCAUGAGUUCACAGCCGUGAAAUCAUGUGGUCAUGGUCUUAGGGCCGUAAACUCCCUAAGGAGUUUACUCUUGAAGAGUAAACUCCAUUCCUAAGCCAUACUUGUCCAUAGAUGCCACCCGGGUCACUCCAAACACUUGGUUUGAAGUGUUUUCGCUCAUUGGAGUGUAUUAUCAUAUCUAAUUAGUGGUUUAAAUCUAACUAGAUACAUUUAGAUAUCAUUUCAUAUUACAUAGGAACCUCACGCAUUAUCAAGCCCCGAACCAACACUUAGCAUCCAAACCAUCGCGUUUUCUCGUCUGGUGAGUUCAUACCCCUACCCUUUUUCAAUGUUUUUCACUGUUUUCAGGGGGAAUACAAGCAAAGUACAAGGGAUACUUGUACUCAAAACUUGUUUUACAUAUGUUGUGUUUCAUAUUACAUAUGCUUUUAACAUUGAUAGUCAUAACAGAUAACCGUUUGAACAUGCAGAACACGUAAACAUAUUAUUUGUGAAUUACGUUACAAAAUGUUGUAUUUUAUAUUUUCACAAAUGGUUUUCCACAUUAUAUCAGUUAAAAGCAUGACAUUUGAACCUUGAACAUAAAACUCAGUACACUAUUUUGUCCUCGGUAACACUCCACAGAGAUACGCGAGUGGAGGAUUAUGGUUCAUAACAGGAACUUUCUGUAUUAUUACUAGUAAGUUUGUUAUUCCUAUAAAUUGGAGACACGUCCUCGGUGAACACUCCACGGAGAUACGCGAGUGGAGGACCGCACCCGUAACCAGAAUCUCUUAGAUAGGGAGUGUGAAUUGAGUGUAUAGAUCUGUACGGGGCUGACUACCCUACACCUGGCUGCUAGCUACAGCCGAACCGAAAGGUUCAAGGGUGACGAAAGUCAUAGGUGAUGUGGACUACUUAUUGCCAUAUCUAGUCUAUCGUAUGGUUAUGGAACUCGGAAUUUGGAUAACAGAGAUUUACUUGUUAGUAAUAAUGGAUUUAGUAACUAGUUUACUUUCUACAUGUUAGUUUUAUAUACGUGUUAAAACUAAUACAUUUCACAAGGACAACCAGGUUCUCAGUAUACAUCUUUCACAUUUGGUAACCAACAUUCAGGAAAAUAUGGGAUUUUCCUGGGGUAACAUUUGUACAUAACCAGAAUCGUGUAACAAUUUAGAUAACUAAACUUUACAGUUCACAAGGGUAAACAUGUUUUUCAGUGUACAACUUUUACAUUACAUUUUGGAUUCGAUAACCAACUUUUAAGAAAAUAUGGGAUUUUCUUGGUGUGUAACUUUUUCAGAAAAUAGAAAGGAACUUGUACAUUUUCAGAAAACAAAACCGCUUAUGAACUCACCAGCGUUAUGCUGGUUUUCAAACUGCAUGUAUUCUCAGGUCCGUAUUAGACAGGUACCCGAUGAUUCACUUAGGAGAAGACGGAGUGCGUAGAAGACACGUCUUACUUUUGUUCAUAUAUACUAUGUAUCACACUUGUACAACUUUAUUUUCAAACGAAUGUAAACUUUUAUAUGUAAUGUAAUGAUUGUUUACUUUGCUUACUAUGUGCAUUGGAUUUGAUACUCAACAUGGAGUCAACCCUGGAAAUGUUUCCGCCUUCGGUGUUCGAGGUGUGACACCUUAAAACUUAAGAAAAACAUGAAAAGAUAGGGGUAUGAACUCACCUUGAGUGGUUUCAGUAGAUGAGUGUUGGAGGUGAGAAGUGUUCAACUCAAGAACACUUGAAGAUGCCUAGAGAUUUACGAGAAUCUAAUUCCAAAUUGAUGGAAUUUGUAAAAGCAUUCUAUGAUAUAAAUAAAGGGAAGUGUAAUUAACACAAGGGGGUGAAUUAUACUUACCAAGAGUGUAAGAAAACUUGAUGAUCAGCCUUGAGUAUCGAAUUUCAGGGAGAAAGUUUGAGAGAAAAGGUGUUUGUUCCUUGGGUGGAAAUGUCACACCCCCAAACCUGAACGGCGGAAACGUUCGGGGGCGGAUGACUUCAUGUGGUAACGUAACAAAUGAAUACAUAGUAAAGAAAGCAAUACAACCAUCAUAUAUAUAAUUGAAAGUUUACAUUUGUCAAAAGUUACAUGUUCAAAACCAAUUACAAUAUGAUGUCAAAAUACGAGAUUAAACUGGCGCCGCAGCAUCCCUUCAUCAAAAGCAAAAUGAAUACCUGAAAUUUACUGAUUUCCUGGGACAUACAAGUAAAUUUUGAAAGAGUAGAUCAGCAUUUAAGCUGGUGAGUUUCAUAAGUAUUUAAAUGACAAUGUUUGAAUGAAAUGAAAUGUUUUGUCUUUGUUUGUUUGUGUUUAGAAAAUCCUAUAUUUUCUACUAGUAUAAUAGUAGCCUUCACUCAAGACCAAUGUUUGUUUCUAAAUUGUAUGUAGGUGUAAAAUAACCAAUGAGUUUGAAAACCUUGUAAAUCAAUGCAUUUUUAAUACCCCUUGUGAGUUUUAUAACCAUACUAUUGACUCGGAAUGCCUAUACACAACGUUCUUCAGGCGUUGGAAUGUUAUGACG